rnacentral:rRNA from 2 species
UACGUAGGGGGCAAGCGUUGUCCGGAUUUAUUGGGCGUAAAGAGCGUGUAGGCGGCCAGACAGGUCCGUUGUGAAAACUCGAGGCUCAACCUCGAGACGUCGACGGAAACCGUCUGGCUAGAGUCCGGAAGAGGAGUGUGGAAUUCCUGGUGUAGCGGUGAAAUGCGCAGAUAUCAGGAAGAACACCUAUGGCGAAGGCAGCACUCUGGGACGGUACUGACGCUGAGACGCGAAAGCGUGGGGAGCGAACAGG